GGCUAGAGUUUGAUCAUGGCUCAGGAUGAACGCUGGCGGCGUGCUUAACACAUGCAAGUCGAACGGAGAGCGUAUGACAGAGGAUUCGUCCAAUGGAAUGCGUUUCUUAGUGGCGGACGGGUGAGUAACGCGUGAGGAACCUGCCUCGGAGUGGGGAAUAACACAACGAAAGCUGUGCUAAUACCGCAUGAUGCAGCUGGGUCGCAUGACUCUGGCUGCCAAAGAUUUAUCGCUCUGAGAUGGCCUCGCGUCUGAUUAGCUGGUUGGCGGGGUAACGGCCCACCAAGGCGACGAUCAGUAGCCGGACUGAGAGGUUGGCCGGCCACAUUGGGACUGAGACACGGCCCAGACUCCUACGGGAGGCAGCAGUGGGGAAUAUUGGGCAAUGGGCGCAAGCCUGACCCAGCAACGCCGCGUGAAGGAAGAAGGCCCUCGGGUUGUAAACUUCUUUUGUCAGGGACGAAGCAAGUGACGGUACCUGACGAAUAAGCCACGGCUAACUACGUGCCAGCAGCCGCGGUAACACGUAGGUGGCAAGCGUUAUCCGGAUUUACUGGGUGUAAAGGGCGUGUAGGCGGGAUUGCAAGUCAGAUGUGAAAACCACGGGCUCAACCUGUGGCCUGCAUUUGAAACUGCAGUUCUUGAGUACUGGAGAGGCAGACG
rnacentral:rRNA from 1 species